AGCAGGGAGCUCUACCCAGGGAAAAAGAAGAAAAAGGCACAUUCAUUUGGGGCUCAGUCUAAUGCCCCCCCGCCCCAGGAUUCUGUGGCUAAGGUGAGGAUACUGAGGCCUGGAGAGGCUAACACCGGGCCUAGGCCAAACAGCAAAGGAGAGGAAAAGCUAGGAGUGAAAGCCAGUGCUCUCUGUCAUCUACCCCCCGGCUUCCCAGCCUGGCCCCGAGAAGGGGAGCAGCCAGCCUGCCCUGGGCCCCUCUGCAGCCAGACUCUGUGGCUGCCACAUUCAACCUCUCCCAACACGGCCACUGGGCCCCAGCCCCGCCCCCACGAUCGCCCUCUGCCUGCUUUCUCCCUAGGGUGGGAAGCCUUAACUGAAGAACUUAGAGCAAGAAGGGUCCUUGGAGGACCUUGGAGGUUGCCGAUCCUGCUGUUCACUGUCCGGUCCCGUUAAGAGAACUUGGCCGCAAACCCCGAGAAGCACUACUGGGCUCUGCACUUACCGCUCAACAAACAGGACCGCCCACGGGGGAGCAAUGGGCCGAAAGCACAGGGCUGGAGGGCAACCGGGACUUGACCUGACGCAGCCUUCUGGCCUCUCAGCUCUGGAGCGGGCAACGCCGAGUGGGCUGCUUUCCUGCCCCACCUGCCCCAGCCCCCGCUGCAAACAGUGGCCACAGCCAUCACGACGGAACUGAGAUAAACCCUUUUAUUUAUU